rnacentral:misc_RNA from 1 species
AAAGUCGUAACAAGGUUUCCGUAGGUGAACCUGCGGAAGGAUCAUUUCUGGUAUAUUCAAACAAACUUGGGGCGGUUAAACGCUCGCAAGUGUUAACUAAACACCUAUUGAACAAGGAUUUAUUCUGAUCAAUUACUAAAAUAUUUAUACACAACUUUCAACAACGGAUCUCUAGGCUCUU